rnacentral:rRNA from 1 species
AAUAGAUACCCCGGUAGUCCACCCCGUAAACGUUGGGAACUAGUUGUGGGGUCCAUUCCACGGAUUCCGUGACGCAGCUAACGCAUUAAGUUCCCCGCCUGGGGAGUACGGCCGCAAGGCUAAAACUCAAAGGAAUUGACGGGGACCCGCACAAGCGGCGGAGCAUGCGGAUUAAUUCGAUGCAACGCGAAGAACCUUACCAAGGCUUGACAUAUACGAGAACGGGCCAGAAAUGGUCAACUCUUUGGACACUCGUAAACAGGUGGUGCAUGGUUGUCGUCAGCUCGUGUCGUGAGAUGUUGGGUUAAGUCCCGCAACGAGCGCAACCCUCGUUCUAUGUUGCCAGCACGUUAUGGUGGGAACUCAUGGGAUACUGCCGGGGUCAACUCGGAGGAAGGUGGGGAUGACGUCAAAUCAUCAUGCCCCUUAUGUCUUGGGCUUCACGCAUGCUACAAUGGCCGGUACAAAGGGCUGCAAUACCGUGAGGUGGAGCGAAUCCCAAAAAGCCGGUCCCAGUUCGGAUUGAGGUCUGCAACUCGACCUC